rnacentral:piRNA from 1 species
UGAUAAAACACCACGGGCAAGGCAACUU